rnacentral:rRNA from 1 species
AAAACUUUCAACAACGGAUCUCUUGGCUCUGGCAUCGAUGAAGAACGCAGCGAAAUGCGAUAAGUAAUGUGAAUUGCAGAAUUCAGUGAACCAUCGAAUCUUUGAACGCACAUUGCGCCCGCCAGUAUUCUGGCGGGCAUGCCUGUCCGAGCGUCAUUUCGACCCCUCAAGCCCCGCUUGGUGUUGGGA